CUUUUUUUUUUUUUUUGGACUAUGUCUCAGUUGCAUCAAAGCCCCAUUAACAUUGCCCUUUGGGAUCAAAAAGUAGUCCACCCGAGAAGAAAGAGUAGAGUUUUAGAGAACUGGGGUGAGAAUUCUGGGCAGAUGGCCAAGGUGUGGGCUCCAGGCUGAGCUUGCUGACACAUGACAUUGUAUGUUUCAGGUACUGGGACAAGUUUUCAAUGUCAAAAUCUUUGAAGCCACCAGGGCCUUUUUUGUUUUUGUUUUUUGGCUAGGUCUUGGCAGUACUCCUUCAUAUAGUAGUAGGUUCAGAAACUCAGGCUAAGGAAAGCAUCCAGAAAACAUUGUCUGCCUCUGCAACAGUUUGUGGAUAGCUUGUAAUUGUAGUUCUGAUCUUGUCAAUCUGUCUUAUAACUCUAAAUGUGUGGUCUCACCUGGCUAGAUACAGAAAAUACCUAUCUUCUUAUAGAAGCAGGCAAUCCUCAACCCCAUUAAAAAAGUAUGGUUUCUUGGACAUUCCAUCUAAUAGGAAUGCCAGUUUGCCUCCUGAUAUGUUGCCAGUCUGGCCAUUUCAGCAGUCACUAUUCAGCACUAGAGGAGGACUUCAGUAAAAGUUCCUUUGUCAGUAAGUCUUCCACGCAACAUAUUUGUUUCCAGGUCCUAAUGGCAAUUCCUCAGGAUCUGGAGAAAAAAAAAAAAAAAAAAAAAGAAAAGGAUCAACUCUCACGUUUGAGUUUGUCCCAUUCAUCUACAUAAAGACUAUCUAUCAGUUUGAAGUGUCUUUUUGAGAAUCAGAAAGGGGAGAGGAUAUAGGGGGCAAAGGAUGUAUUCUUUGAGAUCCUGCUCUUAAGCAGUGAUUCUUCUCUAGCACUCCUUAUUUCUAGAAUUUUCUAGCCAUCUCUAACAAAAGCAAAGUGCAAAGAGCAUUUAAUACAAACCAAAACAUGAAAUGAUCUUUUGAUAGUUCAGUGUUGUGGCUGUGACUUGGAAUUUUUCACUACAUUUAAAAAAAAAAAAGCCACAUAUGCCCGGGUAGUCUCUGCAUCAAGUCUGAUACCAUUGCUCCGACGUUAUGAGGCUGAAGCAGUUGUGGCUGAUUGAUGUCACUCUUCUAGCCAUCUCCUAUUUCCACAGAGAGAGGCCGGGUUAAUCCAACUCCAGUCUAACUUCGGAGGCAUCAAGGAUUCUAGGCAGCAUCUCCCGUGUUUCUUUUUCCAAGUGAAUUCCUGGAGGAAAACAAUGAGGUCCAUGUGUCUUUGCAUCCCCAGGGACCAGCUCAGUAAUGGGCGUAUAAGAACACGCUGAAAAAAAUUGUUUUGUUUUUGAACGACAGCGAUUUAAGAGUAGUAAGGUCCUCGUAAAUAUAGGACAUUGUACUCGUGUUUUUCUUCCGAGCAUACAAAUAUUUGCAAUGAGGUUGCACCGCAGACUCCACAGCCAUUGUGGCACCUGGGGCUCUGUGACUUGGGAGGCAGAGGAGAUGGAAUGCCGGUGAGAAGAAGGAGAUUGUGGUGUGAAUGUGAGGGAUGAGGGUGAAUUAGCUUCCUACGGCGGCUGUUACAAGUUUACCACAAGAUAAAUGAGUUAAAACAGUACAGAUUUAUUAUCUCACAGUUCUGGAAGACAGAAGUUCAAACUACUGGCAAAGUUCAAAGUGUUGGCAAGGCUGUGCUCCUCAGGAGGCUCUAGAGGAGAACCUUUUUCUUGCCUUUUCCUGUUUCUAGGGGCCACCGGCAUCCUUCGGCUCAUGGCCUCUUCCUCCAUCUUAAAAGCCAGCUUCUGCAAAUUCGUCUCUAAUUCUGACACUACUUCUCUUGCCUCCCUCUCUCACUUAUAGGGGUCCCUGUGAUGACAGUAAGCUCACCCUGAUAAUCGAGGCUAAUCUCCCCAUCUUAGGGUUAGCCUAUUAGCAACCUAAAUUCCACCGGCAACUUUAAUUCCCCCCUUGCCAUGCACCGUGACAUAUUCACAGGUUCUGGGGAGGAGGGCAUGAGCAUCUUUGUCGGGGCAUUGUUCUGUCCAUCACAGAGAAGCACUCAGAGAUUCCGGACUCCAGUAUCCUCAUUGUACACUUGAGGAAGCUUGGGCUCAGAGGCUUUAUGUUAAUUCCAACAGUUUUUGCAACAGGAGGAGGAGAAUAUCUGUCCAGGAGCCCUAAUCAAGACUCAGCAGGAAGCUGGUGGCUUCCUUUCCUUCCUUCUUUUGCUUCCUUCCUGUUCUUCCUGUGCUUCCUUUCAGUUCUUCCUUCUACAUAUGGGGCCCAUCACAUUCCCACUGACUCAGAUGCUGAGGGGCCAGACUGAAGGGACAGUGGCCAUUGCAUCAAGUCAGAGAACGGAUCUGACCCAUCUAGUAGAAGCUUAUUGUUUUGGCAGAAGCACAAGCUCUUAGAGGUGCAGCUGCAGGGUGUGACCUAUUGGGGACAUUGAGCUCAGUGACCAUGGGCCCUGAGAGUCUGAAAUCCUGGAAUUUCUCCCAAAACGAAGUCCAUGUAGGGAAGCCAAAGUGUGAGUCUUACCCGGCUGGUUUACAACUGACUGACAUUUGCUGCCUGGGCAGCUGUUGUGGGUGCCUGGAAACCCUAUUGGACUAGGACUGGCCCCGGCAAAAAACAAGUGUUAUAGCUGCCCAGUGUCCUCUGAGUGGAUGCUGGUGAUUCUGGUAUGGAGCCCAGAUGUAAGGCAGCAGGUGGUCCAGAAGGCACCAGAAGAGGUCUCCUGUCAAAGUCAGGGCCAGAGAAGAAGGCACAGGGAACCUACUGCACGAGACUUUCACUUGCAACGAGCAACCCAUGAUGAGGAGGGAGGAUUCCUGGGGGCAUUGAGUCCCCCAGACACAAGGACCCAAGACCUUCUUGCUUGGAAAGUGAAUUCCUCAGAAUUCCGAGAUGAUGCCAGUCUUGGAGGAAGAUGACAUGAGGACCCAAAACCUUCUUGCUUGGAAAGUGAAUUCCUGAGAAUUCCGAGAUGAUGCCAGUCUUGGAGAAAGAUGACAUGAGGACCCAAAACCUUCUUGCUUGGAAAGUGAAUUCCUCAAAACUCCACAAAGACUCCAGUCUUGGAGGAAGAUGACAUGAGGACCCAAAACCUUCUUGCUUGGAAAGUGAAUUCCUCAGAACUCCACGAAGACUCCAGUCUUGGAGGAAGACGAGGUGUUGAGAGAUAGCUGGGAUCCCUGAGGAAGGCAGCCCCAGUCUCCGGUGGAGAAUUAAGAGGGGCCCAAGCAGAUGGUUGGUGGUGGAAACGUCACCUCAGUAUAGUACUAUGGAGUUUCCUUUCACCCCCAACAGCCGACGGUUUCCAGGGGCGAAGAGUGAAAAUUGAAGCAAGGUGUCUACUGUCCAGGUGAGAGCCACAUCCUAUGGCUGAGGGCCUGGGGGCAUUGGGGACCACCAAGAAUGAAUACUUUUCCAAUUAAGUGAAGUCUUUUGCACAAUAUUCCUGACCAAUAGCUAAUGUUCUCUGAGAGAGUCAGAGCUUCAGCCCGUGAAAGGGCGAGGGAACUUGUAGGAAGAUAUAUGUGAGUACAGAUGUGAGGAGAACAUGCUGAAGUAGCCCAGGGGCUCAGUUGAAGCUGAGGACUGGUGGUUCUGGUGGCUGUGCUGGGGGUGGGGGUGGCAGUGUGAGAUGGAAGUGAGUGAGCAGGUUGGGUGGGAAAGAGGAAGAAACCUAGGCUGUUGUGUUUCCGGAGAGACCCCGUAUCAAGGAAGAAUGGGGGGAUUUAUCAGCCGGGGGGAUAUUUAUUUUGUGGAAAUGACCCCUAAGUGGGUAGGGCUAAAACCCUGCUGGCCCGGGGGAGAAGAGAAGCCUAAUGCACUUUGUCUAAACCCACAGCGGUAGACAAGGAGGCAGUGCGCCUGCCACCCCCAAGGAAGAGUCAGUUCAGAAGCACAGCAGCUGCUGGAAACCCAGGAGGUUUCCAGUUCGUUCCUGCUGGGACCUGGCAAGAACUGCACUGUCAAGGCUGCAAGAGGCUCCUGACGGCUUCUGACAUGUACAGAAUGGAAUAAGAGAACCUAGCAGAAAUGGAAGCAGAGGCAAGAGGUCUGGAGGCCAGGAAAAUGUCAAUGGAAAGCAGCUAGCAUGAAGACCCCACAGUGUUCCUCCCUCUAGUAGUCUGGUAUUAUUUGGAGCUGAGAUGCUCCCAAUAUGGUUGGGACAUUUGUCCCCUCCAAAUCUCAUGUGAGAAUUUGAUCCCCCAUUUUGGGGAUGGGGUCUAAUGGGAGGAGUUUGGGUCAUGACGGGGGACCCCUCAAGAAUGGCUUUGUGCCCUGCUCACCAGGAAUGAAUGAGCUCUCACUCUACUAGUUCACUGGAGAGCUGGUUUUUUAAAGAGCCUGGCGUCUCCCCAACUUUCUCUCUUGCUCCCCCUUCUCACUGUGUGAUAUACCUGCUCCCCUUUGCCAUCCAUCAUGAGUGGAAGCUUCUUGAAGCCUCCACCUAAAGCAGAUGCCGACACUAUGCUUCCUGCACAGCCUGCCAUACCAUGAGCCAAUAAACCUGUUUUCUUUGUAAAU
rnacentral:lncRNA from 1 species